rnacentral:rRNA from 1 species
AUUGAACGCUGGCGGCAGGCCUAACACAUGCAAGUCGAGCGGUAACAGAGAGAAGCUUGCUUCUUUGCUGACGAGCGGCGGACGGGUGAGUAACGCGUAGGAAUCUACCGAUUAGUGGGGGAUAGCCCAGGGAAACUUGGAUUAAUACCGCAUACGCCCUACGGGGGAAAGCGGGGGAUCUUCGGACCUCGCGCUAAUCGAUGAGCCUGCGUAAGAUUAGCUAGUUGGUGAGGUAAGAGCUCACCAAGGCGACGAUCUUUAGCUGGUCUGAGAGGAUGAUCAGCCACACUGGGACUGAGACACGGCCCAGACUCCUACGGGAGGCAGCAGUGGGGAAUAUUGGACAAUGGGGGCAACCCUGAUCCAGCCAUGCCGCGUGUGUGAAGAAGGCCUUCGGGUUGUAAAGCACUUUCAGAUGUGAGGAAAGGUGUGUGCUUAAUACGCACAUACUGUGACGUUAGCAUCAGAAGAAGGACCGGCUAACUCCGUGCCAGCAGCCGCGGUAAUACGGAGGGUCCGAGCGUUAAUCGGAAUUACUGGGCGUAAAGCGCGCGUAGGUGGCUAAGUCAGUCAGAUGUGAAAGCCCCGGGCUCAACCUGGGAACUGCACCUGAUACUGCUUGGCUAGAGUACAAUAGAGGGGAGUGGAAUUUCCGGUGUAGCGGUGAAAUGCGUAGAGAUCGGAAGGAACACCAGUGGCGAAGGCGACUCCCUGGAUUGAUACUGACACUGA